ACUUCCAGAAACGUCGACUCGUGGCCCGUAUUUUACCUCGCAGUAAAAGAAUGUGGCGUGAUCCGAACGUAGUGGGUGUCGCCUUCCAGAAAAAACGAAAAAAAUCGAAAGGCGUUCAGAACUUUUCGAGAAGUCGAACCGUCAACACAUGUGGUAUGUCGCGCAUUACUUAUCAACCAAAACGCAGUUACAUUUUUUUUGUUCCAUUUAUAUCUUUCUAGUUAAUAAGUUGUUGAAAUAAACAUUAAUUUAUUUGUGUUAAUUCUGUGGAAUUUCAUUGAACUACCCUUAUUAUCAUAAUCGAAAUAAGGGGAUCGAUCAGUUCGUGGCGUCGAUUAUUUAAUCGUAACGGGAACUUACAACUCUCGUUGACGUGCUAUCUCGCGAUCGCGUCUCUCCGCGAACGGUCGAAACAAAAUGAUUCACCAAAAACUGUCCUGAAUUCCUAAGAAUUUAUUUACCGCAAAACUGACAAAGUGUUUAUUUAAAAAAUGAGGUUGAAGGUAGUCCUUUUCUUUCAUUUCAUUCAUUUUCAUUUUCUUUCUUAAGUAUGGCUAACACAAUAUCUAAUCAAUUAAAAUUUUAUAUUUUCACGUGAAAAGUUUCUUUAGAUAAUUAUUAUCAACAUGAUGACUAACUCUUACGGAUUAAUACGUGUCUGUAGGGCAAUCCGGUGGACUUGAUCGGCUUUUUACUUCGAAAGUUGAGUAAUCGGUGUCGCUUUCUUACGCAUCUUUGAACUGUAUAAAUGUUUUAAAAUUGUUUGAUCCAGAAUGUACCACACCGGACAAUCAAGAAGGCAGGUGCCUUGACUACAGAAAAUGUAAACCUCUGCAAGAAAUAUGGCAGAUACAGUACCGUACAGCCACCGAUUUUUAUAGACGAUCAGUGUGCAGAUACCAGGUCAAUGUUACGAUCGUUUGCUGUCCGAACGAUCCAAACAAAGAGAAGAGAGAAAUUUUAAUAAAAACUGUGUAUAAGUAUAAGGCUUUGCGACCACCAUACUGUGGUUUUAGCAACGUCUCUCAUACCAGGGUGGUCGAUGGUAAACCAGCUGAACUUGGAAGAGUAUCUUUUUGCUUGAAAUAAAAAAUUGAUAUAGGAGUAAUAAUAUGGAUAGAGAUCAAAAACUGUUAGGGCAGAAAUUACACGUUUGAACUUUAUAGUUCAGUAUAGUUCAAAUAGAAAUUAUAUAGAAUUAUUUAAUAAUUUGUAUUCCACUGGAAUAAAAAUUUAAUUUCUGUCUUUAUCAAAUCUCUAUUUCAGAGUAUUUGUACGUAUGUACUUAUCGUCUGCUGUAUGAUCGAAUAUCGAAUAGGCGCUUGGCCAUGAAUCGCUGCAUUAGGUUUUCGUAAUCCCCGAAACCCAGACAAACCACUAUGGAAGUGCGGAGGUUCCCUGAUAUCGGCUAGGCAUGUUUUGACCGCAGCACAUUGUGCACAUAUGGAUGGAAUAGAAAACAUACACAAUCAUAAUAUUGCCAUUCUUAGAUUGGUGGAGGAGGUGCCAUUUUCGAGGUACGUAUAUCCCAUUUGUACGAAAGAGCA